rnacentral:rRNA from 1 species
UAGCUUGCUACUUUGCUGACGAGCGGCGGACGGGUGAGUAAUGCUUGGGAACAUGCCUUGAGGUGGGGGACAACAGUUGGAAACGACUGCUAAUACCGCAUAAUGUCUACGGACCAAAGGGGGCUUCGGCUCUCGCCUUUAGAUUGGCCCAAGUGGGAUUAGCUAGUUGGUGAGGUAAUGGCUCACCAAGGCGACGAUCCCUAGCUGGUUUGAGAGGAUGAUCAGCCACACUGGGACUGAGACACGGCCCAGACUCCUACGGGAGGCAGCAGUGGGGAAUAUUGCACAAUGGGCGCAAGCCUGAUGCAGCCAUGCCGCGUGUGUGAAGAAGGCCUUCGGGUUGUAAAGCACUUUCAGUCAGGAGGAAAGGUUAACGGUUAAUACCCGUUAGCUGUGACGUUACUGACAGAAGAAGCACCGGCUAACUCCGUGCCAGCAGCCGCGGUAAUACGGAGGGUGCGAGCGUUAAUCGGAAUUACUGGGCGUAAAGCGUACGCAGGCGGUUUGUUAAGCGAGAUGUGAAAGCCCCGGGCUCAACCUGGGAACUGCAUUUCGAACUGGCAAACUAGAGUGUGAUAGAGGGUGGUAGAAUUUCAGGUGUAGCGGUGAAAUGCGUAGAGAUCUGAAGGAAUACCGAUGGCGAAGGCAGCCACCUGGGUCAACACUGACGCUCAUGUACGAAAGCGUGGGGAGCAAACGGGAUUAGAUACCCCGGUAGUCCACGCCGUAAACGAUGUCUACUAGAAGCUCGGAGCCUCGGUUCUGUUUUUCAAAGCUAACGCAUUAAGUAGACCGCCUGGGGAGUACGGCCGCAAGGUUAAAACUCAAAUGAAUUGACGGGGGCCCGCACAAGCGGUGGAGCAUGUGGUUUAAUUCGAUGCAACGCGAAGAACCUUACCUACACUUGACAUACAGAGAACUUACCAGAGAUGGUUUGGUGCCUUCGGGAACUCUGAUACAG